rnacentral:rRNA from 1 species
CACGUAGGGCGCAAGCGUUGUCCGGAAUUAUUGGGCGUAAAGAGCGUGUAGGCGGCUAGGUAGGUCCGUUGUGAAAACUCGAGGCUCAACCUCGAGACGUCGAUGGAAACCAUCUAGCUAGAGUCCGGAAGAGGAGAGUGGAAUUCCUGGUGUAGCGGUGAAAUGCGCAGAUAUCAGGAAGAACACCCGUGGCGAAGGCGGCUCUCUGGUACGUGACUGACGCUGAGGCGCGAAAGCGUGGGGAGCAAACAGG